rnacentral:rRNA from 1 species
GCGAGGGGAGUGAAAAAGAACCUGAAACCGUGUACGUACAAGCAGUGGGAGCACAGGUUUACCUGUGUGACUGCGUACCUUUUGUAUAAUGGGUCAGCGACUUAUAUUCUGUAGCAAGGUUAACCGAAUAGGGGAGCCGGAGGGAAACCGAGUCUUAAUUGGGCGUUAAGUUGCAGGGUAUAGACCCGAAACCCGGUGAUCUAGCCAUGGGCAGGUUGAAGGUUGGGUAACACUAACUGGAGGACCGAACCGACUAAUGUUGAAAAAUUAGCGGAUGACCUGUGGCUGGGGGUGAAAGGCCAAUCAAACCGGGAGAUAGCUGGUUCUCCCCGAAAGCUAUUUAGGUAGCGCCUCGUGAAUUCAUCUCCGGGGGUAGAGCACUGUUUCGGCUAGGGGGCCAUCCCGGCUUACCAACCCGAUGCAAACUGCGAAUACCGGAGAAUGUUAUCACGGGAGACACACGGCGGGUGCUAACGUCCGUCGUGAAGAGGGAAACAACCCAGACCGCCAGCUAAGGUCCCAAAGUCAUGGUUAAGUGGGAAACGAUGUGGGAAGGCCCAGACAGCCAGGAUGUUGGCUUAGAAGCAGCCAUCAUUUAAAGAAAGCGUAAUAGCUCACUGGUCGAGUCGGCCUGCGCGGAAGAUGUAACGGGGCUAAACCAUGCACCGAAGCUGCGGCAGCGACGCUUAUGCGU